rnacentral:rRNA from 1 species
CGCGAAGAACCUUACCAGGGCUUGACAUCCUUGGAAUUACUGCGAAAGCAGUGAGUGCCCUCGGGAGCCAAGUGACAGGUGCUGCAUGGCCGUCGUCAGCUCGUGUCGUGAGAUGUUUGGUUAAGUCCAUCAACGAGCGCAACCCUUAUGAAUAGUUGGAUUUUUCUAUUCAGACUGCCCCGGUAACGGGGAGGAAGGGGGGGAUGAUGUCAGGUCAGUAUUGCCCUUACGUCCUGGGCUAGAAACGCGCUACAAUGGCCGGUACAACGGGAAGCCAAGUCGCAAGACGGAGCAAAUCCCAUCAAAGCCGGUCCCAGUUCGGAUUGCAGGCUGAAACUCGCCUGCAUGAAGUCGGAAUCGCUAGUAAUCGCAGAUCAGCAUGUUGCGGUGAAUACGUUCCCGGCCUUGUACACACCG